rnacentral:rRNA from 1 species
CUGCUGCCUUCCGUAGGAGUCUGGGCCGUAUCUCAGUCCCAAUGUGGCCGGCCAACCUCUCAGUCCGGCUACUGAUCGUCGCCUUGGUGGGCCGUUACCCCCACCAACUAGCUAAUCAGACGCGAGGCCAUCUUUCGGCGAUAAAUCUUUGACAUUCAGACCAUGCGGCCCAAAUGUAUCAUGCGGUAUUAGCAGUCGUUCCAACUGUUGUCCCCUCCGAAGGCAGGUCCUCACGCGUUACUCA